rnacentral:rRNA from 1 species
CAUUACACCGUUCCAGCGUCCGCGGAAAGCCAGAGGGUGCUAGUGUUGGUCGGAAUUACUUGGCGUAAAGCGCGCGUAGGCGGACCGUAAAGGUGGGGGUGAAAGACCGGAGCUCAACCUCGGAACUGCCUUCAAAACUAUUGGUCUGGAGUUCGAGAGAGGGGAGUGGAAGUCCGAGUGUAGAGGUGAAAUUCGUAGAUAUUCGGAGGAACACCAGUGGCGAAGGCGGCUCACUGGCUCGAUACUGACGCUGAGGUGCGAAAGCGUGGGGAGCAAACAGGAUUAGAUACCCGAGUAGUC